UACGGAGGGGGCUAGCGUUGUUCGGAAUUACUGGGCGUAAAGCGCACGUAGGCGGCUUUGCAAGUCAGAGGUGAAAGCCCGGGGCUCAACCCCGGAAUUGCCUUUGAGACUGCAUCGCUAGAAUUGUGGAGAGGUAAGUGGAAUUCCGAGUGUAGAGGUGAAAUUCGUAGAUAUUCGGAAGAACACCAGUGGCGAAGGCGACUUACUGGACUGUAACUGACGCUGAGGCAUGAAAGCGUGGGGAGCAAACAGG
rnacentral:rRNA from 1 species